AGAUAUAUGAAGAACUUCUAAUUCUUAAAGAGCCAUGGGCUAUAUCUA
rnacentral:tRNA from 1 species